rnacentral:tRNA from 1 species
CAUAAAGUGGCAGAAUUAAUGCGAAGAUUUUAAGCAUCUUAUAUAAACAACAGUUUCUUUAUGU